GCUCAGCAGUCUCAUUGAAGCGAGCGGCGGCGGCCGCGCCGUGGUAAACAAGUGCCGGGCUGUCAAUCAAGAACUAGACCGGAGCAGGAGAGGACCGGCCUAAACCGGCGCGAGCAGAUCCCAGCCGGCCUGCCCGCGCGCCGCCGCCGCCGCCGCUGCCGCCCGCGCGCCCCGCUAUACAUACGGCAUACGUCGCGCGGCGCUCGCGCCCGUGCCCGCGCAACCUAGCCUGCUGGCCGGGGGGCGGGGCGAGCGAGCCGCGGCGCUUCCGCUUUACACGCCCCAGCCGGCGACCGGUUCCAUCUGGCUCGGGCCACUCUGACACCUUUAGUUUCGGCAAGGGAUAUUGGGGUGGCGAAGGGGAGGCGGGGGCCCGAAGGCUUCGGAAAACGAUGGGGGAGGGGGCAGAGGAUACCCGUCGAAGCCCCCCCCUCCCCCAACAUUUCGAUAUUGGAAUCACUUUCCUUCUUCCUCGGGCCAGCCUUUGCUCUGUCCCCUCAGGUCAACUCAAGGUAGACAGUGUGGCGACUGGAGAGGUCGGGGAACAAGCUUUGUUUCAGCUAAGGGGAAAACAAGCGUUCACAGGAGUCCCCUGACACCUCCCACUCGGAAGAUAGCUAACGGGGGUCCUGCCAACCCUUCCCAUCCAACUUCCAUCUGAAAAGGAUUUUCUGCUAAAGUUGGGUCCAUGGCCAUCCAGCACCUGUAAGGCCGGCAGGAGCGUCUGCCCUCUACUCAGUUAAAGCCUGAAGUCGUUUCCUUUCGAUGGCCCUUAGGAGGCCCAAAAGAGGGGCGACAGAACAUGAUGUUGACACGGGCUGGGCGCCCCCAGAAGCCCGGGAACAAACGUUUCUACUUUCCAGGUCCACUGGUGUUUGGUGUACCCAUGUGACUAAUUUGUCCAAAGAGAGAUUUCUGUGAAUAGACCAGAAGCCGACCUUUACAGUGUGUUUGGGUGCAGCAGAAAACCUUGGCUGACAUACUCAAGGCUGAAAUGCAGUCAGCGGAAAUGGAAACACUUCAACUCUGCCCCUGUGGCAAGAAUGGCUUCCCUUCAGACAAUCUGGCCAGAUUCUUUAUGGACCCAAUGGGAGGUACAUACUCGGGGCAUUGCGUUUAUGUUUUUCCUGACCUACCUGCUCCUUAGAGCU
rnacentral:lncRNA from 10 species